CUUGGAAGCACAGUUUUAUUCUCUCUUGGAUGGCUACUCUGGGGGAAGCUGGCCAUUACCCUGUGAGGCAACUCCAGGGUAAGCUCAGAAUCAUUGGAUGAAUUAAGCAUGUGAAAGGAGGUACCACUGCAUUUCAAUCCAAAAGGAAUGAAGCAUUGUCUACUGGAGAGACAUGAACAAAAGUCUGGGGCCUUUGGCCAGAGGUAAUUUUCUGUGAAUGGAGAAUUGAUGAGGGAAGAGUGCAAGCCAGAAGAAUCGACCAUCUAAGGCAGCAGUUGAUAUGAUGUGGAUUUACUGCAGUGGCAGCAGAGGUGCUAAGUAUUCAAAUCCACAGAAGUGACUUUCAACAUGGGAUGAUUUUCCCCCAAACUUUCUCCCAUUGUGGGGCUUUUG
ensembl:lncRNA